rnacentral:rRNA from 1 species
UACGAAGGGGGCUAGCGUUGCUCGGAAUCACUGGGCGUAAAGCGCACGUAGGCGGAUCCUUAAGUCGGGGGUGAAAUCCUGGAGCUCAACUCCAGAACUGCCUUCGAUACUGAGGAUCUCGAGUCCGGGAGAGGUGAGUGGAACUGCGAGUGUAGAGGUGAAAUUCGUAGAUAUUCGCAAGAACACCAGUGGCGAAGGCGGCUCACUGGCCCGGUACUGACGCUGAGGUGCGAAAGCUAGGGGAGCAAACAGG